UUACACGCGGGUGAUUCUCACCAACAUAAUUGCGACACCUUAAUUAGUAACGCCGUAUCUCACAUCGCAAAUAGGUUUGGAAGUGUUAAAUUUGCGACGUUACUUGAUUGCCGUCGUAUAUCUCCUCUUAGAAUGAGAGACAAAGCAUUGAAACUCAAAAUUUUGAGGAGGCACUUCAGUUUCCCGCACGAAAUCAAAACCCGAUAUCUUCUGAUUUGUCAUAGACCUAAAUCAAUACCUUUAUGCUUCUGAUUACUCUUAGCCCCAAAUCGAUACCCAAAAAGGCCAGAGAUCACCACAACAAUCGGUUUUCAGGCAAUUCAAAGAGACGAUUCCAACUUUAUCAACGACUUCUAAAUUUUGGGAAAGUUUCCUCCUAUUAUCAAGGAUAAUACAGAUGCCCUUGAGGCAUAUAGAUUCCAUUGCCUAAAGGUAGUUGGUAAUAGAUGGAGGGUUUGGAAGUGCCGACUGAAGCAGAAAUGGUAUGAUAAAUAUGACACUGAUGAACAACGCUUAGCCAUCACUCCGCCUCAGGUGGUCACAGAGCAGUGGAAGAUGCUAGUAAAAUAUUGGGGUCUUCCAGAAGUAAAAGUAAAUAUUUAAUAAGUUUAUAGUUUAUGUUUGUAGGAGAGAUGAAUUAUCAUUGAUAAAACCAUCUUGUAGGAAUGUUCCGAGACGAAUAAGUCAAUUGUGCACAAGGAGGUGCUCCACAUAGGACUGUCGCACAUCAUUUGAUCAGUUGAGAAAUGUUCAAAGAGAACAAGUCCAAAUUCUAGGCAAACUACAGAGACACAGGUUCAACAAACAGAGAAACUACAGAAUCCUUAAGAAAAAUUCCAGCAUGAGUGAAGCUAUCAUCACGCUUGUAUAUAACUUCAAUCGCACGUGCAAGAUUCAGAAUUCGCAACAAGAGGGGCAUGGGGAAGAUGGUGGGGCGGAGGCAAAUUUCGUUUAUGUCCUUCCAUGCAUUGCUCACUUGAUUACUUAGUUCGAUUGUUGCUUCUUCUUCUGUGGCAUCAUAUUGUUCCAUGUAGCAUUCCACAGCUGAGGCAACAUGUCCUCUCUUUUGUUCAAACUACAGAAACAUAGAACCUUAUAUAUAUAUAUAUAUAUAUAUAUAUAUAUAUCAGUACCUUAUGCGACUUCAUGUCAUCCAUGAGCCUCCCAAUUAUUACAGAUGCAGCCUUUUCAAUCUUAGGGUCACUAAACACCCAAUCCAUGGAGUCUUUUGUAACAAUAUCUCCCAUUCCAAUAAAGGAUAUGGUUGCUAGCGGAAAGUAGGAUGUGUCAAGUGCUGCUGACAUAUAUUCAUCCAUUGUUGGUGUGUACUUCUGGUGGAAUCAUUUGGCUUCUUGGAAGUAAGCUCUAACUUGAACUUUCAUCUGACAGACCAAGCCAGCCAUGUAGUAAAUCUUCAAUCUAUUUUUAACAUUAUAUAGGACAAGAAGAUAUAAUAUUGCAUAUUUCUAUAUAAUUAAUUGUGUAUUAGCACCA